CUAAAAUCACCUAUGGGAACAAUGAAUGGUGGAAAAACUAUUGGAACCAUUUUCCCUGUUUGACUGCUAUGUUUUAUGGUCAUACAUAUGAGUCAUAAUACCCUUCUUAGAACCCCCCCCUCCCCAACAACUGUUUUAUGGUCAUACACAUGAGUCAUAAUACCCUUCUUAAAACAAUUCCGAAUUCCACUUAGAAUCCCCCCCUCCCCAACGACUGUUUUAUGGUCAUACAUAUGAGUCAUAAUACCCUUCUUAAAACAAUUCCGAAUGCCAGCUUAGAACCCCCCCUCUAAGCAUCUACCGACAUACUUUGCUGAUCUACGAGGGAUCUGAGGCAGGCGUUAGAUUGCAAGCGUUUUCAAGUGCAACAUUGAAUAAAAAUGGUUUUGGGAAACAGCUCUCAGAUAUAACGAUGCUCCUACAGUGCAUUUGGAAAGUAUUCAGACCCCUUGACUUUUUCCAAAUUUUGUUAUGUUAAAGCCUUAUUCUAAAAUUAAUCAAAUUGUUUUGUUCCCUCAAUCUACAAACAAUACCCCGUAAUGACAAAGCAAAAACAGUUUUUUAGACAUAAAAAAACUAAAGUAUUCAGACCCUAAAACAGAUGUUUUACUCAGUACUUUGUUGAAGCACCUUUUGUCAAUGAUUACAGCAUCAAUUCUUCUUGGGUAUGAUGCUACAAGCUUGGCACACCUGUAUUUGGUGAGUUUCUCUCAUUCUUCUCUGCAGGUCCUCUCAAGCUCUGUGAAGUUGGAUGGGGAGCGUCGCUGUACAGCUAUCUCCAGGUCUCUCCAGAGAUGUUUGGACAGGUUCAAGUCCGGGCUCUGGCGGGGUCACACAAGAACAUUCAGACUUGUCCCGAAGCCACUCCUGUGUUGUUUUGGCUGUAUGCUUGAGGUCGUUGUCCUGUUGGAAGGUGAACCUUCGCCCCAGUCUGAGGUUUUGAGUGCUCUGGAGCAGGUUUUCAUCAAGGAUCUCUCUGUACCUUGCUCAAAGUGACCAUCGGGUUCUUGGUCACCUCCCUGACCAAGGCCCUUCUCCCCUGAUUGGUCAGUUUGGCCGGGCGGCCAGAUCUAGG
ensembl:lncRNA